UACAGAGGUCCCAAGCGUUGUUCGGAUUCACUGGGCGUAAAGGGUGCGCAGGUGGCAUGGCAAGUUUGAUGUGAAAGCUCAGGGCUCAACCCUGAAAUGGCAUUGAAUACUGCUGUGCUGGAGGUUUGGAGGGGGGACUGGAAUUCUUGGUGUAGCAGUGAAAUGCGUAGAUAUCAAGAGGAACACCAGUGGCGAAGGCGAGUCCCUGGACAACACCUGACACUGAGGCACGAAAGCUAGGGGAGCAAACGGG
rnacentral:rRNA from 1 species